GCCAGCCUGAACUCUACAGCUUCCCUUUAGAGGGGCUCCUCCGUCCCCUCUUCCCCGGCCCGGCGCACCCCCGCCACUUCCCUACCUGGGUUGCCCUCCUCCCUUCUGCCUUGAUCCAAUUCCUUCCCACCCAGCCGGGCCCUGGUGAAGCCCCCUCUUGCAGGAAGUCCCUCCUUGAGGUUUGUGAUGCUUUCGUGACACGUGGUGCUCCUUGCCUGAAAGGGCCUUCUGGCAAAACCCCACACGUCCAGUAGACGGGGAACAUCGCCACCUGGUGGCCAUCGAGGGCACAUGCGCUUUGGAAAGGAAUGGAAGUGCUGAGCUCAUCAAUCCGCGCUAGCCUUCUGAUGCAAAACCCACCCUCACCCUCCCGGGUGAGGCUGGCAUCUGGCGCAGGGGGGCACCUGUUUAGGCAGACUGCCCCCCCGCCGCCUGUUAACUCCGGGCCAAGUGAGUAUCCUUGGCAUUAGCCAACAGGGUCUAGAUCAUCUGGGCUGACAUGCAACAUGGAAGCUGAACCCGCUGCCCCACAGGAAGGCAGGUGGGGACCUUCAGGCUACAGGACUUCACAGGCCUUCAAGGUGUGGACAAGCCUCCCGGCCAGCCUCGUUUACAGUCAGCAGUCACACCUGCCACUCCAGGUGCAGAGACAGGACUCUGGAGGUGGCGCUUCUUAGUUACCACUGUCUCUGGGUGACACUCCCUUCCCACACCCACCCAGUCAUCUUCCUCUGUAAGGGCUUCGCGAACACAGAAACAAGCCAGAGUCCGCUGCUGAGAGGAGUCAGAUGAACGAGGAGGGUGUCUGUUGUUCCUUUUAAGAAAGGGCUGAGUAAUCACUGAGUCUAUCUUAUUGAUCAAGGUCCAGUCAUUUGCCAAGGUAUAUACACAUUUUAUUUAAAAAAGUUUACAGUUUUCAUUAUACACAACUAUUAAGAGGUUAUAGUCAGAGGCGGCAUUUGUCCUGUUGACAGAAGUGCCCGCUAGAUCAUCACAAUGCGAGGAGGAAGGUGGGAGGGAGGAGAGGGCAAGGAACAAAUAAGCGAUAAAAAGCUUAGAUUUCAAUUAAGGGCUGUAAGUCCCUUUUCUCUCUUCAAGUAUCACACAGUAUGUACCAAAUACAAUCAGUAAAUAAUGGCCAUUUCUUCCCAAGCCCACAGCCAAGACGAGUAUUUGCUGAAGUGAGAGUCCUGGCCCUUCCUCAGGUGUGUGGAGACCCUGCCCGCCCGGCCAGGGUGAGCUCCCCCUUCCCCCAGGGGCCUCCACCCCAAUCCUUGAUGAACUGCCAAGGUGUUCAGUGGCCAAAGAAAUUACGAACAUGGAUUCAGAAGUCCAAAGAAAACACAGGUCUUUGUGCCCAAUCAGAAAUAAUUUUAGUCAAGAAGGCCGUGAACCCGGUUAGAAGUUGGUAAAAGAACUCUUGCUACUUCUUAAUGGCUUCCACUUUUUCUGAUUGAGUCCCUAGAAUGUAGAAGGGCCACACGCCGUUUAAAAAUCGAACACCAGUUCCCAGAAACUUGGUGUCUAGAAACUUCACCCAUGAAGGCUAGCAGAGAUCUGUCUUUCAUGAUUCUAGCCGCAACAGGAGGCCUAAUGAAAAGCAAGUGUCAGGCCAAGGCCAAUCAGCUUCAGAGAGCAUUUUGAGGAGGAAAAAAUUCCUUCGAGGGGAGACACUCCUCAGGAGCUUAGCUCAGCCAGUUGGCAAUGAGAACAGCUUCUGAAGUAGAAGGACGUUAGGUACCGGAGAGACACAUGGCAACUUCUGAAAACUACCUUACUAGUAUAAAAUGCUAGUUGAAACUGCACAGUCACCUCAAGGAGGGUGACAAGAUCAAAGACAAAAGAGCACAAUGCCAGCAUCUAGCUUGGCUACCACGAAAUGCAACCUGCCAGGCCCCAGUGCCGGGGCUGCCCGAGAGCAGCGGGCUGUGGGCUGCGGCUGCAGCCACCUCUUGUCGGUUUUGGCGAGAGCUGGAGCUCGGUAUUUGAACAGGGGCAAAGGAUGGCUUGCGCUGGCCAACCACAAGGUAAAACUUGGAAACUAUGGGUAUGCUAAGAAAGGGAGGGAAACUGCCAGAAGCAACUCUUGACCUACCACCACCACCUUUAAAAGCAGUCACGUUCAGCCCCACUGAGGGGCUCUGGAUGCUUUUCUGAGUAUUACGACGGGAAAUCUGGGAAAGUUUCCAGAGCUGUCAUACCCCCUCUUCUAGCCUUACUGUAUCAUCAACCACUGCUGGCCAGAGUCCUCGGAUUCCCAGCCAGGCUUUCUUCCAGCUCCCUCUGUACCUAGAAGCACGGUCGUCUUCUCCUGGCUACCUCUCCCAGGUAUAGGAAGGGACAAAAAGUUAGCAUAAGAAGGAUUCUGUUCAACUCAUCAAAAGCCAGUUUCUCAGACUAGAGGGAAAGCCCCACAUGGAGCCAAAGCAUGCAUGGGACCAAGGUUAGUGCCCAGAAAGGACAGAUCUGCACGGAACCAGCAGGUACAGUGUGAUCCGGGUAGCCAAAGCCAUUCCAGGAGCUUCCUGCUCUAACAGGGAAGCCUCAGUACACCUUCAUCAGACAGACUUGGAUGGACAGACACACACGCACACAUGCUGCAGACGCACUUGGGAUCUGCUUCUUAACCCCUGUGACCUCCCCCGCCACUUCUUCAUUCAGAAAUUCUGCACCACCAGACUCCCAGUGCCAGAGCGUUCAAUCCGCGUCGAGCCAAUGUCUUUUUUGAGAAAAAGGUAUUUAGUCGGGGAGCAGAGCUGUGGCUCACAUACAUUCCCCCAAACUUGGCUCUACGUGUUUUGUCUGUUUUGUCUUGUUUUUGACAAGAUUAAAAGCAAUUAUUAUCUGGACAUUAUUUUUUUUUGAAAGGUAAUUAGAACACUAUUGUUUAUACAAUAUUGAAAAAAUACAAUUUUUAUUGUUUGAACUCAAAUCACCACCCAGCACUUUUAAAGCCUACCCUAAGUCGCACCUACAAUUUAAACGGUUAUAGCACAAGCAAACUGCUAAUUCAGCAGGUAAGCAGGUUAGACAGUGCCAGCAGAGACCCUCCCUCCCCCAAAGUAAGAGAAGACAACGCGCUAAGAGAAGUUAAAGCACACCAUUCCAUGUUAAAUAGUUAACACUACCCCUCCAACAAGCCACAAAUGCUAGAUAGAUAAACUCGGUACGGUUAACUAACCACAGCCCUACGUAACUGCACUUUAAAUUUUUUUUUUUUUAAAGAAAACCUUUUGCUUCAUGCCCGUAAUUAACAUAAAUUAAGAAAAUUCUUUGUCUUUUAGGAAAAUAAUCAUGCUAAAAGCAAGUUGUACUUUAUAUAGAUUUUCAAAGAAAAGUAUUGAUUGUGCUUUUUGAAU